rnacentral:rRNA from 1 species
CGCGCAGGCGGCCUGUCAAGUCAGAUGUGAAAGCCCGGGGCUCAACCCCGGAAGUGCAUUUGAUACUGUAGGGCUUGAGUAUGGGAGAGGGAAGUGGAAUUCCUGGUGUAGAGGUGAAAUUCGUAGAUAUCAGGAGGAACACCGGUGGCGAAGGCGACUUCCUGGACCAAUACUGACGCUGAGGCGCGAAGGCGUGGGGAGCAAACA